AAGGAUCAUUAACACGUAUCCAUUACCAACCACAACGAACUGUUAUGUCUUUUCUCAACCUUCGAACCGCUUCACGGCGCGUCCGGAGGUGGGAAUUUCAACCCUUCACCGGGUUGGCUUUCCCAGUUUAUCAACCCCUUUCUUUGUAUGACUGAAACUUAGCGUGUCAGUAACAUGACCGCAUCAUUCAAUCUAAAACAACUUUCAGCCACGGAUGUCUUGGUUCCC
rnacentral:misc_RNA from 1 species